rnacentral:rRNA from 1 species
GACGAACGCUGGCGGCGUGCUUAACACAUGCAAGUCGAACGGAAAGGCCCUGCUUUUGUGGGGUGCUCGAGUGGCGAACGGGUGAGUAACACGUGAGUAACCUGCCCUUUACUUUGGGAUAACUUCAGGAAACUGGGGCUAAUACCGGAUAGGAGCUCCUGCUGCAUGUUGUGGGUUGGAAAGUUUCGGCGGUUGGGGAUGGACUCGCGGCUUAUCAGCUUGUUGGUGGGGUAGUGGCUUACCAAGGCUUGGACGGGUAGCCGGCCUGAGAGGGUGACCGGCCACAUUGGGACUGAGAUACGGCCCAGACUCCUACGGGAGGCAGCAGGGGGGAAUAUUGAACAAUGGGCGGAAGCCUGAUGCAGCAACGCCGCGUGCGGGAUGACGGCCUUCGGGUUGUAAACCGCUUUCGCCUGUGACGAAGCGUGAGUGAAGGUAAUGGGUAAAGAAGCACCGGCUAACUACGUG